AUUUAUAUAGUUUAAUAAAACAUUACAUUUUCAUUGUAAAAUUAGGAAAUUUUCUUAUAAAUA
rnacentral:tRNA from 1 species